CGGGGCCUGACAGCGAAGAUGGCCAGACGCACUUUUUAGGAGCUCCUGCAAUCACAGGCCCAAAAGCAAAUAUACCAACUGACAGGACAGCAUAAGCAGCAAAAGGUGAUCGGGAGCGGACGCAUGACAGCACCCAGCGCACAAUGAUACAAACCCGGCACCGAUACGCCGCGGAAAAGCUGCAACAGGCCAUGCGGCCUAACCUAGCGCAGAGCGUAAGGCCCACGGAGGACAGUCGACCGCCCUGCACGGUACAAGCUCCUACACAACAGCCCAAAGCAGCCCUGCUACCCCCCCUUUGGACCGGAGGGGGACAUCCCGGUCCUCGCUGGGGACGAUUACCCCCACAAGCGCACGUGAACAAGCAGCGAACUUGCUAAGCAAACGAAAUCCGCAG